rnacentral:lncRNA from 1 species
CCGGGCCGAGGGUGGGGCCAGUGCUUGUGGUUCCGGUUUGAUUCCUGCCGCUCCUCGGCUCCUCGUCCUCCCCCUCCCCUCCCGCACUUCUCCUCCCUCCCAUUCCAGGGAAAGAGAAGCCACCACUGCGGGUGGGUAGAGAAGCGCUUGGCGUCUCCGGGAGGGAACUGACCCCGCCCCGUUUGAGCCCCGGAUCACGGCCGGACGAGGAGGAAGUUGUGAGGCCAGUGCACUUUUGACUCAAUGGGGUUGAAUGGAGCACUGGAAAACCACUGAAGGCCUUUGAGUUGGAAGAUGACGUGAUCAGACUUGCAUUUUGGAAAGUUCCCUAUGGGUAUGAUGUUGCACAAAUUGGAAUGGAAAGGU